rnacentral:rRNA from 1 species
AGAGAGAGACAUGCGCGCAUAUCAAUAAGCGGAGGAAAAGAAACUAACUAGGAUUCCCUCAGUAACGGCGAGUGAAGCGGGAAGAGCUCAAAUUUGAAAUCUUCAAGGUUCUACCUUGACGAAUUGUAGUUUAAAGAAGUGUUUUCUGUUGGAGUUUUGGUAAAAGUUCUUUGGAAUAGGACAUCAUAGAGGGUGAGAAUCCCGUAUUUGACCAUUAUUUCCAGCUUUGUGAUACACUUUCAAAGAGUCGGAUUGUUUGGGAAUGCAGUCCAAAAUGGGUGGUAAAUUUCAUCUAAAGCUAAAUACUGGCGAGAGACCGAUAGCGAACAAGUACCGUGAGGGAAAGAUGAAAAGAACUUUGAAAAGAGAGUUAAACAGUACGUGAAAUUGUCAAAAGGGAAGCGUUUGACACCAGUGUUGUUUUUCUCGAAAAUCAAUUAAAAAGGUUGGAUUUUUGAGUAGUUAUGACUUCAUCAGCUUUCUGCACUUCUUUAUGUACUUUCUUAAUGCACUUUUCGUUUAACAAGUCAACAUCAAUUUCUUUUGUUGUAAAAGGGUCAUGAGGAAGGUGGCUUUCCUUUCGGAGAAAGUGUUUAUAGCCUUGUGCCUCUGCAAUCGGAGAGAUUGAGGUCUGCAGCGUAGAUCCUUCGGGGUUAGAUACAUUUGUGCUAAGUUAUAGCCUUUUCAUAGACAACUUGUUGACUAUAUUCAGUCAUGUAGGCUUACUCGCUUAUGCUAUUUUACCUACGCUUAGGAUGUUGACAGCAGUAUAGACUGU